AUGCGGCUGUCAACUCACUGGAGGAUAUUUUAUGCAUCCAGGUCAAUGUGGAUCACAUGAAGCUCCAAAAAGUUAAAGUUAAAGUGUGAGCAAGUUGAGGAAUAUAUUGCAAGGAUCAGAGUAUGUGCUUACCUUUGGGGACAAGGGUGGUGAUUUGAUGUUUGUGGGAGUAAGUAUGAAGCAAAUUAACUUGUUUAGUUUGUCCACUUUCGUUAUGUUAUUUCCAGUUUAGUGUUAGUAGCAUUUUGAAAGGAACUAAACUCAAGUAAUAAGAACAAU
rnacentral:lncRNA from 1 species